UUAAUACCGGAUAGAUCAAAGAAACUGGAAUGUUCUCUGGUUAAAAACUCCGGUGCCCAAGGAUGGGUCUGCGGCCUAUCAGGUAGUAGUGGGUGUAACGUACCUACUAGCCUACGACGGGUAAGGGUUGUGAGAGCAAGAGCCCUGAGAUGGAUUCUGAGACAUGAAUCCAGGCCCUACGGGGUGCAGCAGGCGCGAAAACUUUACACUGCGGGAAACCGCGAUAAGGGGACUCCGAGUGCCAGCACCUAGUGCUGGCUGUCCAGCUGUCCAAAUAACAGUUGUUAGCAAGGGCCGGGCAAGACCGGUGCCAGCCGCCGGUAACACCGGCGGCCCGAGUGGUAGCCGUUAUUAUUGGGUUUAAAGGGUCCGUAGCCGGCCUAUUAAGUCUCUUGGGAAAUCUGGCGACUCAAUCGUCAGGCGUUCA
rnacentral:rRNA from 1 species